UACGUAGGGUGCAAGCGUUGUCCGGAAUUAUUGGGCGUAAAGGGCGCGUAGGCGGCUUGACAAGUCAAAGGUGAAAUCCCUCGGCUCAACUGAGGAACUGCCUUUGAAACUGUCUGGCUUGAGGCCGGGAGGGGGUAGCGGAAUUCCCAGUGUAGCGGUGAAAUGCGUAGAUAUUGGGAGGAACACCAGUGGCGAAGGCGGCUACCUGGACCGGUUCUGACGCUGAUGCGCGAAAGCGUGGGUAGCAAACAGG
rnacentral:rRNA from 1 species